rnacentral:rRNA from 1 species
AUUCCAGCUCCAAUAGCGUAUAUUAAAGUUGUUGCGGUUAAAAAGCUCGUAGUUGGAUUUCUGUCAAAGGUGAGGUGGUCCAUCUUAUGGAUGUGUAUCUACCCAUGCCUUGGCAUCUUCUUCAAGAACGCUUUCGCGCUUCAUUGCGUGAUGCGGAAUUGAAGACUUUUACUUUGAGGAAAUUAGAGUGUUCACGGCAGGCAAUCGCUUUGAAUACAUUAGCAUGGAAUAAUACUAUAGGGCCUCGGCUUUAUUUUGUUGGUUUCUAAAGCUGAGGUAAUGAUUAAUAGGGAUAAUUGGGGGUCUUUGUAUUGCAACGUCAGAGGUGAAAUUCUUGGAUUGUUGCACGACAAACUACUGCGAAAGCAUUGGCCUAGGAUGUUUUCAUCG